UUUCCAUGAUCCAAUUAAUCAAAUCGGCCCAAUCAUCAAUCUCAACAUUAGCCCAAUAACACUUUAAUCGGUCCAUUUAUCGGGUUCAAAUUUUCGGUGUCUACAAAUUGCCCCCUCGAGACUUGCCGGGACAUGCCGCUUAAUGUGCUUGGAGUGAGAAAGUCUCGAAAUUUUAACACAUGGCCAUUCAAAUCCAUGGGAGUGUCUUAUAACAUCAUGAGCCCAAAAUUAUUCAUUGAGCCCAAAAUUAAUUUAGGAUGAAGCUGGUGAAGGGAUAUUGGGCUCAUACAACAUUUAUUGGCCCACGUUGGAUACUCCACAACCCAAAAUUGAAUUAGCAAUGUACUAUGGUCAAAUCCAUCAAGACCAUCUCAAUAUUCUAAAUUUACUAAGAUCAACUUCUCAUCUGGCAACAAAUUUGAGUCCUUCAAAUUCUAUGCACACCAAUCUCAUCCGUAAUCCCAGCAUCACAAUUGAAUUCAACCACACAACCAUAAUUAUAAUACCAUUAGGAUUCUAAUCCGACACUAACCUCCUUCCUCACAGUACACUAUAAAUAUGGCCUAAACAUACCCUCAUCCACACCAAUCAACGAGAUAAAGAUCAGGGAAGAACAACUCUGCUUCUUAAUCAGGAAGUGAAUGUCUUGGGUGGCCUUGUACUUCCAGUGUGGGGAACAAUUCCAAGGAGGGAGGUAUUGGCAUAGUGAAUAAACACAAUCACACGGAGUUCGUCGUGGCAGGAGUUUUUUUGUUUUUUUAGGAAGUUGCCGGAUUGUUGCCCGCCGCCGGAAGUUUUCGCAGAAGUCGCCGGAGUGUUGCCCGUCGGAAAUCGCCGCUCAACUGUUGAUGCUACCGCCUCGCUGGAAGCUUUUUUUUUUUUUUUUUUUUUGCAGAAGUCGCCGGAGCGUUGCCCGUCGGGAACCGCUGCUCAACUGUUGAUGGUACCGCUUCACCGGAGACCACUCAUUGCUGUCGAUCAAGAACCAUGCAUGCCGACAAUGGCCGCUGCCGGUGCCGAUCGUCGCAAAUCGCUGGUUCGGAGUCUAACUUUGUUGUUUGUUGUCGUAGGGUCGCAUCGCGGAUCGCCAUCGCAGAGCUCUGUUUCUCUACUGUUGUUGGUGCAGGAUCGUGUCUCUGAGAUUUGCUUCUCCUGACUUCUAUUGAUGUUGCCGGAAGUGAACCUGAAUCUAUCUUCUCUGUUAGUUGCAGGUCGCCGUUGCUGGAAAUGAAUGCCUUAUGUUCAUCUCUGCUUCUCUACUGCUUGGAGGUCGACGCUGCUGCGAUCUACUGGUAACCCUCCUCGACGAUGGAACUCUACUGAAAAAUUUGACGGAGCAGCUGAGCAAGGAUGGCAAAUGGGAACACGAACUGAUAGAGGAAGAAGUGAAGGACUGCACUUUUAUUCUUUAGAGGACAACAUCUACUGCAAGUUAGAUAUGUGGCACUUUAUCCUCCACACGUGUUUCUUCCUCUUAUGCCCACUUUAAAUCUGAAGGAGACAAGAGCAUGACAUGGCCAUAUACACACGCAUGAACAUGUGUACAAAACUUUUUUUGAAACCUUGUUUGUUUUUCUUUUCUUUGCAGUUUUCUUUUCUUUUACCUUC